GUGAGGAAUAUUGGUCAAUGGACGAGAGUCUGAACCAGCCAAGUAGCGUGAAGGAUGACUGCCCUAUGGGUUGUAAACUUCUUUUAUACGGGAAUAAAGUGAGCCACGUGUGGCUUUUUGUAUGUACCGUAUGAAUAAGGAUCGGCUAACUCCGUGCCAGCAGCCGCGGUAAUACGGAGGAUCCGAGCGUUAUCCGGAUUUAUUGGGUUUAAAGGGAGCGUAGGCCGGAGAUUAAGCGUGUUGUGAAAUGUAGACGCUCAACGUCUGCACUGCAGCGCGAACUGGUUUCCUUGAGUACGCACAAAGUGGGCGGAAUUCGUGGUGUAGCGGUGAAAUGCUUAGAUAUCACGAAGAACUCCGAUUGCGAAGGCAGCUCACUAGACUGCAACUGACACUGAUGCUCGAAAGUGUGGGUAUCAAACAGGAUUAGAAACCCCAGUAGUCC
rnacentral:rRNA from 1 species